rnacentral:rRNA from 1 species
UGGGGAAUAUUGCGCAAUGGGGGGAACCCUGACGCAGCCAUGCCGCGUGAAUGAAGAAGGCCUUAGGGUUGUAAAGUUCUUUCGGUAUUGAGGAAGGUUGAUGUGUUAAUAGCACAUCAAAUUGACGUUAAAUACAGAAGAAGCACCGGCUAACUCCGUGCCAGCAGCCGCGGUAAUACGGAGGGUGCGAGCGUUAAUCGGAAUAACUGGGCGUAAAGGGCACGCAGGCGGUUAUUUAAGUGAGGUGUGAAAGCCCCGGGCUUAACCUGGGAAUUGCAUUUCAGACUGGGUAACUAGAGUACUUUAGGGAGGGGUAGAAUUCCACGUGUAGCGGUGAAAUGCAUAGAGAUGUGGAGGAAUACCGAAGGCGAAGGCAGCCCCUUGGGAAUGUACUGACGCUCAUGUGCGAAAGCGUGGGGAGCAAACAGGAUUAGAUACCCUGGUAGUCCACGCUGUAAACGCUGUCGAUUUGGGGGUUGGGGUUUAACUCUGGCGCCCGUAGCUAACGUGAUAAAUCGACCGCCUGGGGAGUACGGCCGCAAGGUUA